GUAACUAUGACUUAUUAGAUGCAGGCUUGGCUGAAUAGAAAAUGAACCCACCAGCCUCAUCGGAAGCAAAUCAGAGUUUCCCUUUUGCAAACAGAAUAGAGAGAAUCGGGAAGACUGUGGACCACAUGUCUCCAGUUCCAUUUUCCUGAGCUUACACCUUUCAAUAAGCCCACUCCACCCUGGGGUAGAGGAAGAAGGCUGGGUAAGCUACCAGAUGACACUCCUCACCAACUACCCACCAACACAGAGGGAGAAAAAGCAAACUUUUUGGAGUGAAGAUGAGUGUCCAUUAUGUCAAGAACCUCAAGGGAAACCGGUUCUGCAACUCAGGGGUCCCAUCCCCCUGCCUGUAAGGAACCGGCUGCACAGCACAAG
rnacentral:lncRNA from 1 species